UGCCAGCGCCGCGGUAAUACGAAGGGGGCUAGCGUUGUUCGGAAUCACUGGGCGUAAAGCGCACGUAGGCGGAUCUUUAAGUCAGAGGUGAAAUCCCAAGGCUCAACCUUGGAACUGCCUUUGAUACUGGGGAUCUUGAGUCCGGGAGAGGUGAGUGGAACUGCGAGUGUAGAGGUGAAAUUCGUAGAUAUUCGCAAGAACACCAGUGGCGAAGGCGGCUCACUGGCCCGGAACUGACGCUGAGGUGCGAAAGCGUGGGGAGCAAACAGG
rnacentral:rRNA from 1 species